rnacentral:rRNA from 1 species
GUCUUUGACGCAGUUGCGCCCGAAGCCAUCAGGCCGAGGGCACGUCUGCCUGGGCGUCA